UUUUUUUUUUCGAGACAACUUCAAAUGAAACAACCCAAAACAGAAUCAAACAUAAUGAAAUACAAAAAAAUGAGCUUAAACUUGGAGGAAGAAGAAAGACGGAAUCAUGAUGCUGAAAAUGUGGAAUGGAUACAGAAUGGCUUAAGGUUGUCUCGAACAAAAUUUAUUUAUUUAAAAUAAAACAGUUCGUCCAGUGAUAAACCAAACCACAUGGGACAGUAUAUUUUAAAUGUCUGGCUACUUCACGUCAUGGUUCAGAAAAGAGACAACUUUUCUGUGUGCAUGGACACACCUUUUCUUCUUGUUCUCUGCUGUUUAAUUUCACAGCCUGAAUAAUACAACUUGAAGUGCAUAAUUGAUCAAGAUAUGCACAAACGAAAAUGAUCAAUCGUGUUCCUUUGAAACGAACUUGCAGCAUGAUUUCAUGCAAGAAAGUUGCCCAAGUGAAAUUGUAGAAGGGUUUGUUCAGGCAAGCAAUCUCUAAUUUACCACAGAUACAGAUGACCAUCUGGUCAGGGUGAAUAUGGGGCAUGCGUUGCCUGCAAGAAGUUGCCCGUGUGGAAAACACAGAGUGCGCUCACGUAUGCGAAAUU
rnacentral:lncRNA from 1 species